GGGAUUUGCUAUCACGAAUUAUCCAGUUUUUAAGAUGGUUUACUAUUAGUUAUCUUUAGCUGGGUUAUUUGCUUUGAAGGUGGAAUUUCGAAGCUUGAGAGCUAAUCUCUCCUGAAAUUCAAUUGCUUUGAAACAUUUGUGAAAAAGAUUGUAAUAUUGAAGUUGGGUUCUAGAUGUGGACUGGUGGUGCUGAUCAGGCGUAUGCAUUUGGGAUUUGCUUGUUUCUAAUGCAGGGGAUAAAUGAUUGAAACACGGGUUCUUUGAUUUUGGAGGCGGGAUUUCUAUAAAUCAGGUGUUGGUUAAUCCUUGAAGUCGAAACUAUGGAUAGAGCGAUACAACCGCCUCUGGUUGAUACCACAGC
rnacentral:misc_RNA from 1 species